rnacentral:tRNA from 1 species
GCGCCCGUAGCUCAGUGGAUUAGAGCAUCUGCCUCCGGCGCAGAAGGCCACAGGUUCGAAUCCUGUCGGGCGUA